rnacentral:tRNA from 1 species
UGCGGGGUCUUCUAAUGGUAGGAAUGACGGCUCUGAACCGUCCAAUCUAGGUUCGAAUCCUAGCCCCGCAG